CAGGGCUUGACAUCCAGGGAAUUUUUGGGAAACCAAUUAGUGCUUUUGGAACCCUAUGACAGGUGAUGCAUGGCCGUCGUCAGCUCGUGUCGUGAGAUGUUUGGUUAAGUCCAUCAACGAGCGCAACCCUUGUGAUUAGUUGAAUUUUUCUAAUCAGACUGCCCCGGUAACGGGGAGGAAGGAGGGGAUGAUGUCAGGUCAGUAUUUCCCUUACGUCCUGGGCUAGAAACACGAUACAAUGGCUAGUACAAUGCGCAGCGAAGCCGCGAGGUGGAGCAAAUCGCACCAAAGCUAGUCCCAGUUCGGAUUGGAGGCUGAAACUCGCCUCCAUGAAGUCGGAAUCGCUAGUAAUCGCAAAUCAGCAAGUUGCGGUGAAUACGUUCCC
rnacentral:rRNA from 1 species